AGUCGAUCUAUUCCUGGGUAAGGCGAAGCCUCUCGAAAGGGGGGUGGAGGCCCGUUACCGGUUCUGAUCCUAUUCGUUCGGGUGAUCUGGGAAUAGGGGCGAAAUACCAAUCGAGACUGGAGAUAGCUGGUUCCUCCCGAAAUGUGUCUUAGCACAGCCUGGCUGGAGACAGAUGCAAGAGUAGAGUUACUGAUUUGGGGGUUAGGCCUGGAAACAGGUCGCCUCCUCGUCAAACUCCGAACAUUGUAUCGUCAUAGAAGGCCGGAGUGAGGGCAUAUGCGUAAGGUAUAUGUCCGAAAGGGAAAGAACCCAGACUAAAGUUAAGGCCCCAAAAUUCUGAUUGAGUGCAAUUGAAGCACGUCUUAAAUCCAAAACAGCGGGGAGGUUGGCUUAGAAGCAGCCUUCCUUUAAUGAGUGCGUAACAGCUCACCCGCCGAGAUUUAGGGCUGCGAAAAUGGACGGGGCUAAAUCAGAUGCCGAGACUUUAGCGUUGUAACAACAACGGGUAGGGAGGUA
rnacentral:rRNA from 1 species